rnacentral:rRNA from 1 species
CGGAGGGUGCAAGCGUUAUCCGGAUUCACUGGGUUUAAAGGGUGCGUAGGUGGGUUGGUAAGUCAGUGGUGAAAUCUCCAGGCUUAACUUGGAAACUGCCAUUGAUACUAUCAAUCUUGAAUACCGUGGAGGUCAGCGGAAUAUGUCAUGUAGCGGUGAAAUGCUUAGAUAUGACAUAGAACACCAAUUGCGAAGGCAGCUGGCUACACGAAUAUCGACACUGAUGCACGAAAGCGUGGGGAUCAAACAGGAUUAGAUACCCUGGUAGUCCACGCCCUAAACGAUGGAUACUCGACAUACGCGAUAUACUGUGUGUGUCUGAGCGAAAGCAUUAAGUAUCCCACCUGGGAAGUACGAUCGCAAGAUUG